UAUGUGAAAUGAAAUAAGUGGCAUGUUUUAAAAGAUAGAGGGGUUAAAAUGGAAAUAUGCUAUAAAUAAACACUUGACAAAAAUUAGUCAGUGUUUGGUCUGGGCGUGCGAACGAGAGAAGGAACCAAGGGAACCAAAACCCUAAACAACCUAAAAUCAUCAAAUUGAAAGGGGAAUCGAGGGCUGAUCGAAUGCAUGAGUCUAGAUACCCUUUAAUCUAAGUGUAUUGAUCAUAAGGAACGUGUCAAGGAGAGCUCAAGCAUAGGAGGAUAACGGGUCAAGAUAAGGCAAGGUGACAAAUACACUUAUUGGAAUACUCAAGGUAAGUGAUUUCUAUAAUCACUUCUUUAGUUGUUUAAGUAGUAUAAUGUUUUAAUUAUUAAGUUCAUAUGAAGUUGAGGUUAAAUCAAUGGAUUAUUUUGAUAAAUGCACGAAUGGGUCGAAUAAUUCAUAGAUGAAUAACAAGCCGAAUACGUAUAAGUUAAGGAAUUCCUUAACUCGGAUGUUGGACUUCAAGAUCACGUGAUAGAAUAUUAAAUUACAAUCAUAUAGGAAGAAACGUGACGCAAAACGGACGAAAAAUGAGAGAGUUAUGUCCGUUUCAGUAAGGAUUAAUGGCUAGGAAAAGUGCAGAGUUGACACGGCCGGGUGGUGAACUGACACGGCCGGGUGAAGGUUCUGUCAAAAUAUAAUUUAUGUGAUUUAUGCGCCGUAGGCUUCGGUAUAUUAUCCGUGAACUACGACGGGCCUCCCAAACAUGAUUUCGAGUGUUUCCUUGACGAUUAUAAGUUGUAAACCCAAGUCUAAGCCUCAUGUAAUUUAUAUAAGAGUGUGAUAGAUGUAUGUAAUGAAGUUGGACAUGUAUUACAUGUAAAUGUAUACAAAAAUACGUACGGAACACGUAGGUAUGAAUACAUGAUUGUAGGUAUGAUUAAAUGUAUAUUAGGUAUGUAGAUGUGUAUGAUUGUAAGUUUGUAUGUGUGCAAGUAUGUGCGAAUGCAUGAUUCGGAUGCAUUUGAGAAUUAGCGUUACUAAUAAUGCCCUUGGGUUUGGAAUAUAAGUUGAUUGGAUGCAUUUAAAUGGUUAACGUCCUUUUUAUGAAGAUGUAGUAAAUGAAUAUGUUGAGAUUACGGGUUUGGCUAACCAAGUUAUUAUUGAGUAUGUUUGAAAGUGCAGGUGAUGAAUGUCGGACUUUCGAAGUGUUGAUAUAAUAAUGAAACGGUUGAAUGUUGAAAGGAUAAUCAGACUGAAGUAACUUAUGCGGUUAGAAUAUGCUAUGGACGUUUUAGUUUAUACAAUAUUAUAUGUUUGGUCGUCACCAUCUACUAACAGGUUCGUUGUAUGAGAGUAUAUGUCAUACCCAUUUAAUUGGGUAAUCGAAUGCGUAAGAAAAAUGAAAGUACGCACACGAAUGGAACUAAAAUGACGGUUUUAUAAGCAAACAAGUAUAAUGACUAACUUUUUAAAGCUUUGUUGUUGAAUGUAGGUAAAUCCUCAAUUUUGGCGACUUGGAGAAUCGGAGCGAGCGCGUGUUCGUGUUAUGCGAUACCAAACGCUUCCGCUAGUUUGUUCAAAUGUUUUUGACCCAAAAUUUGUUGUAUUGGUUUUUAGUAGUAUCUUGUUGAACGAAUUGUAGAAUUGUAUCUAGUUUGUUUAUGUUUAAAACAGGGGUAUGCUCGUUUUAUGGACGGGUCAUGCCCGAUUUUUUGUUAAAUUAUAGUUUGAUAAUAUCACAUUUAGGAAGGUGAAAUUUUGGGCGUAACAAGUUGGUAUCAGAGCCUAGGUUUGAGGGAUUCGAGCAAGAGUAUCAGUGCUUGAACUCAAACCGAUGACUCGUGCAAAAGUGUGCUCGCUCCGAGAUCGCCAAUGAGGCCAAGAGCACGCGGGUUAUGCGAAGGGUAAGCGCAAUUGUUCGGAAGGAAUGAUCCGUGAAUGCGGUCUAGGACCGGCAUCAAGGCAAGUAAUAAGACGAAUUGACCCCUGGUGAGCUUGAUGAAUGGACACGCAAUGUUACUAAUCAGAAAGGAAGGAUAAUCGUAAGGUAUGGAUAACGAAUCAAUGGAAUUUACUUCCGUCAGGUAUGUAUAAAAAGAAGUGUAACUUUAAUAGAGGUUAGUACUCGACUAGAAAUGGAUGUGUCAGAAUAGAAUGUAUGUAUAUAUACAAACCGUAAUGCAAAAUGUGGAGUGAAUUUCAAAAUGUUCGUAAUGAUCGUCGGGUAGUAUUGAACUUGAAUGCUCGUAACUGUGGAAAUUCUGAUAGAAUAUAAGAGACGAUAAGUAUCCUUAAGAAAUGCUAACUUUGAUGCUCGGCUUGUUGGCCAUGUUCAUUUGAACAAGACAUUGUAGAAAAGAUACGCAUGGCAUAAAUAACAAUAAUAACCAUGGAAAUAAUGCUUAGUCUUCGUGAUUUAAGUAUGGAUAAGUAAGUUUAAGAAGGGACGUUGGUAACGGGAUGAUAGGGUUUGCUCGUGGUGAACAUAAUGAAAUAAUGUAUAUGAUAUAAUGAUAGAAUGAAACAAAUCAUAGAAAGUGAAAACGACACUAAUAAGAGCUCUGGAUCAGAUUAUGAGUUUUAUGUGAUUAUGAAAAUAAAUUACAUAAUUUAAGAACGUAAGGACAAUGCGUACAAUCAUGUUUAGGUAUGAAACAAACUUUUGACCAAGAUCCCGAAUGUAUUCAUGUUGUAAUAAGCAUCGUGAAUGAAUAGAUGGAAAGGUAAGAGUAGUAUUGGUCUACUAAGAAUAAGAAAGGUUUCGGGGACGAAACCUUCUUUAAGGGGGGUAGACUUGUAACACGCCAAAUUUCGUAAGAUAUAUUACAAUGUUUUAAUCGCAAUAUUUGACUUUCAGAAAUGAUAAACAUAGAUUUCUACUAUUAUUAAAGUUUUAUAAACUAUGGAA